CUGCGGCUAAAAUAACAAAACAGGCGAUUCAAGGGUGUUGAGAGUUUCAUUUAACCCGCACACACGAAAAGUCGCUGGCAAUGCCGGGUUAUACGUAUGCGUUCGUGUGUAUUUAUGUGAGGAGCUUCGGUGAGAGCGAGCGAGGGUUGGCGAUUGCGCAGUUCGCUUCGACCGAAGGAGACAUAGCAGGAGGCUGGCUCUCCAGUUUCGCUGCUCGCCAACGCCAAAAUCGCAAAAUAAAAGCAGAUAAGGAAAAAGGUUGACGCAGUGCGCACAAAAUUCUCGUUGCGACAAAUUUUCGAGAAUGCUUCCUCUCCGAACCUCAACUCUUAAUUCGUGCCGGAAAUUAACAGAAUAUAUGUAACGUAUGAGUUUGUAUAUCAAGGAAAUAUAUGACUCCCAAGAAAAUCUUUUGGAAAUUCGGAAAGUUGUUUCUUCCACUUAUUUCCAUAUUUAUUGGUGAUUUGAUCCGUGCAAGAACGUGCCUUUUUUCGUGGAGUGGACGUUCGACGGGAAGGGAUCGAUUUGUGGGGCCAUAAAUAUAACGAAUUAUAUGUGGAUCAUUGUUUCUGGGUCAGUGUUGCGUCUGGAGCUUCGGACUCUGUGGAAGUGUGCGCUCGGAUAAUGGAGAUCAAUGCAGAUAUAGAACAUAACGUUUGCGGGAUCGAAGGGAGAGAACGUACAAUUCUCGUCAAAAGGGGAUUCCCCCUUUUCACGUCCUUGUUACACUUUGCACAAAAGACAAUUACAAAGUCUGACUCGCGAUUUUGCGUGUUUCCACGCGGGAAACCUCAUCGAAAUACUUUAGCUCGGAAAUUCUCCCCCCGAUCUUGAUAACACCUUCUUAGCAAUUUCCACAGAAUACUCAAUAAUACACGUGCUGCGUCGACUCGCUUUCAAUAAUACUUUCGAACGUUUUUUAAACAAUAUUCGGAAUAAUAAGAAUCAAUUUCACACUCAAAUUUAAUCUCUAUCGACGAUACACACUCAAUGACCAUACUCAUGGAAGAAGAUGCAUAACGGAAGAACACCGAUAAAUGUUUCCACUCUUAAUUGCUCUCCGAAGCAUUUUAAAUCGUUGUAAAAAAAAAGAUUCAAUACAAAGUUUGAUUAUACAGUUCUCGAAUGGAUGCGGCUCUCUAAUCCGAGGGGAAAGGAAUUCCGAGUAUAUUCUCGUCAAAUAAUUCACCAAUCGUAAUUGCAAGUUCGGCUGUAUAAAUAAAAUGCUGUUUUUACCUUUGUU